rnacentral:rRNA from 1 species
UUAUCGGAGAGUUUGAUCCUGGCUCAGAACGAACGCUGGCGGCGUGGUUUAGGCAUGCAAGUCGAGCGAUCCCUUUCGGGGGAUAGCGGCAAAAGGGUGAGUAACACGUGGGUAAUCUACCCUUAAGACGAGGAUAACUUCGCGAAAGUGAGGCUAAUACUCAAUAUGACCACAAGCACAUGAGUGCAUGAGGUAAAAGGUGGGGACCUUCGGGCCUACCACUUAAGGAGGAGCCCGCGUCCUAUUAGCUAGUUGGUGAGGUAAUGGCUUACCAAGGCGAAGAUGGGUAGCUGGUCUGAGAGGAUGGUCAGCCACACUGGGACUGAGACACUGCCCAGACUCCUACGGGAGGCUGCAGUCGAGAAUCUUUUGCAAUGGGCGCAAGCCCGACAAUGCGACGCCGCGUGAGCGAUUAAGGCCUUCGGGUUGUAAAGCUCUGUUUGCCUGGAAUAAAUCCAGCGGUCGAAUAGGCCAAAGGGAUGAAGGUACAGGCAGAGGAAGCCACGGCUAACUCCGUGCCAGCAGCCGCGGUAAUACGGAGGUGGCAGGCGUUACUCGGAUUGAUUGGGU